GGUACCAUCUUGGCCUCACACAGGCAUGAGGUUACUCCUGGCCAUGCUGGCUCUGUCACCGGCCCUCAGAUCCCCUUCCCUGUGAAGCAGGGCCCCACCUCUCCCCAGCCCCCAACUCUCUUUCCCAAUCUCUGACCCCUGUGAAGCUCACCUUGCAGGGAGCUGGACUCUGCACAUUCCCUUGGCAAUCAGGUGGCUGGGACAAAGUCCAGGCCACCGCAGCUGGCCCACACAUGACCAGUGAUUUCCUCUCCAGGAAUGCCCAGCCUUUGGUAGGCCCCUAACCCAAGGGGCUGGGACCCAGUUCUAGGGGAUGUAUGUGCCAUCCAUCGCAUCCCCACAAGUGCAAUCUCCAGCCUGUGCCCUGAGGUCACUUCCCGCAUCACCCCAUCACCAUCAGGGCCUGUUCUCACUGCCUUCUGCUGUCCCCACAAGACUUGAAUUUCCUGACAGCAGGAACUGCGGCCUCUUCCGUGUGGACUCAAGAUGCAACUGUGCCCUGUGUGUGGAAGGUGUUUAAUAAAUGGAGAAUGGCA